rnacentral:rRNA from 1 species
CUCCAUACGUCGAACUCUUACGACUCUCGGCAACGGAUAUCUUGGCUCUCGCAUCGAUGAAGAACGUAGCGAAAUGCGAUACUUGGUGUGAAUUGCAGAAUCCCGUGAACCAUCGAGUCUUUGAACGCAAGUUGCGCCCGAGGCUAUCCGGCCGAGGGCACGCCUGCCUGGGCGUCACGCCUAGCGUCGCUCCGUGCACCUCGACCCCCUCGUCACGGGGGGGCGGCGGGUGCGGAUGCGGAG